ensembl:lncRNA
GGGUAAGAACAGAUCUGGCUAUGCAGUGCCUUUCUAGAGCUUGUUAAGCAAAUCCAGCUUGACCAUUGUAGAGAACAACAAAGAACUGCAUGACGACAGUGGGCUUUUCCAGCACUGUAGGAAUGACCUUCAAAGCUCUCAUCUACAGCCACAUUCUUUCUUGCCAUAAAUCAAAACAGAACUCAAUAAAUUCACCUGGUGGAGGACACAUCAGUGAAGAUAGCUUGAUGGAAGAGUUAAAAGUUAAGGACAAGCUGGUUUUGUGUUCAGAAAAGCAAAAGAGAAGGAAGAAAAUCUUUUAUGCUUUCAUUUUCCAUUUUUCUCAAAUAGUUUCUAUGUAGAUUAUGAUUGAAGAAACACUAAAACAAAAUGGGUUUUGGCAUAAACUUUCCAGUAGCAUAUAUUUAUUAUAACCUAAUACAAAAUUAAUUCUAUGCAGAAAACCAAUGCUUUUGAUACUGGUAACUUUCAUAUGCUUCACAGGCAUUGUAGCCAGACCUUUCCUUUUUUUUUUUUUUUUCUUUUCUCUCUUCCUUCCUUCCUUCCUUCCUUCCUUCCUUCCUUCCUUCCUUCCUUCCUUCCUUCCUUCCUUCCUUCCUUCCUUCCUUCCUUCCUUCCUUCCUUCCUUCCUUCCUUCCUUUUUUUUUUUUUUUAUAUACUUCCCUGAAUUAACAAUUUUCAAUAAUAUAUCAUUUAGAAUAGAGGGUUGGUCAUAUAUACGAAUGGAAGGUGGUUUGUACUGGAAAGAAAAUUAAGUGCUGCUUACUUUGCUGGAAAUAACUGUAUCUGCCUCUUCUCCUCUGAAGCAGAUUUAUUAUCAUCAUUAUUCAUUCCUGUAUGUUGACUUAGGGAACACUUUCAUGUGGAAAUGUCACUUAUUUUCAGAUGCCACUAACUUAAAUUGCUUUACAAUUUCAUUAAAAGCCACUCUUGCUGCUGGCUGCUCAGUAGACAUCUCACUAUGCUCUGAUGUGCUCUUUACAGUCAAGUUGAGAGGCAGUUAACUUGUGCUUUACUGUUACCC